ACGCCAGCACUUGACCAAUUGAUAUUUGGUGGUCAGUCGGUGGCCGACGCUCCUUCACCGCAGAUCGAAUCUUUGAUGGAAACAUAGUCGUGUCGAGCUGAUAUAGCUACCAUCCAAUACUCCCACACACAGCUUAGCGAAUUACAAUCGAGUGGUUUACCAUUACGUCUAUUGUUCAGCGUACUCCGAGUCGCGUGGCGCGCGAAAGAGACGAUCCUGACGGGCAAAGCAAAUGGGCAAUCAGAACAAUCCCAAGCAGUACACCAAAUACAGCAAGAAUACCUCGGAGUGCAAAGUGCGGAACAAGUGUCUACCCGUCCAGCGAAGCAUGUUCCGGUUGGGUUCUGGAAAUCUGUUCUAUCUUAUAUUGAUAAAAAUAUUCACCAUCUUGAACAACAUAGCUAGCAAAUGUUUCUGAAUUCCAUACGGUCUGGUGCCAUGGCGAGUAAAAAUAAACGACUUUUUCUACGAGGUAUUUGUAAUCCCGCCGUCGACAGAUUUCAGUUAUUUCUACUAAUUAAUCAGCAUUACUUUCGAUUCGAUAGACCAAGUGCAAGCUAAGCUAAACGCUACGGAGAGUGGGAUAGCAAAAUGAUUACAAACAUGUGCAAGUGGGAGCUUAUUCGGAAUCGAAGUGUGAUACUACGACAUUACCUGUGAUGUGUCGUCUGAAUCUACAUUCUAAGUGCUUCGUAUUAAUGACGCACAAAACCGAAAGCAGAGAGUGCUGCUGGCGAUUGACCAAUUUCUCAACCGUUUUAAAGAGAGCACAUCGAAUCAUCGAUCGUUCGGUUGCUUUUCGGUACACCACCGAUUCGGUUGAAGUUGAUCGAUAUACAGCGUCGAGGAUAGGUCCUUCAUCAGUUAUGCGGAGAAAGUCGUUAAACGUGUAUAACUACUAAUCGAAAGUGAUCGUCCGUCGGAUGGUGAUUGUUAAAAAUAGUAUUUACUGCAGGAUAAGUGGCUUCUGAACGGUUCAAUAGGCGAAAAAUUACCAUUUCCGAAUAACGCAAAGAAGAAAACCAUGAUUCCCACAGGAUACACCCGCUGGCGACAGGAAGCGUGCAUCCGAGAUGUGGUGUUUGCGAUUGUUGCGCUCAUGUUUCUACUUUGCUGGUGGUUUUGACCACCAUACAGGACUUCAACUGUUUCCCGAUGCGGUCAAAGAACUAUAGAACGGACUGCUGG
rnacentral:lncRNA from 1 species